UACCCAUCACCCUGGAAAUCGAAGAAAUGUCGUCCUUUUAGGGAGAAGGAAAGGUCCCUACUGCUAAACACCAGCGGCAAGGUCUAAACAAAUUAGGCUAGAAACAAUCAAAUUCUACCUUAAAACUGCCGUCAGGUAAGUGACCUUGCAGAUAAGAGGGGAAAAAACUAAUGUUUUUUCAAAAUAAGAAGUGGUGGACGACGUCGGAGAAGGAGAAGCUCUCGUCGAUUGGUUCUGCGAAUCGGAAUUUGAUGACCCGUCCCCUCAUUUUCCGGUUCUUUUGUUUGCAUGUGUCUUCGGACUCCUUCCUUUUCUACGUCUGCGUAAUGCAAUAAAACGUAACAUGUAAAGUUUCAAUUCCUUUUAAUCACGUCCCAAAUGUUAACAUAAUUACACAGCAUAUAGAACAGUAGUUGCAUUACAUUUACACACACACACACACACAUACGGAUAGAUGACAUUGGCUGUUUCCUGUUUCAAAUAAUAUAUAUUUUUUUUAUGAUUUCAAUUUGUUCGUUUAUUAGAAUUUAUAAUUAUCAUUUUUUAUUAUAUUAUAUUUCCAACGAGCAGCAAAUGCGAUAACUUUUCCAUUCAAAAAAGAAACGAAAGAAAAACAAGAAAACCAACGUUGUGUUUGCGUAUGGUAAAUAAUCAAAUUGUGACAUCAAAGCACAUGGAAUUCGUUAUUCAUAGACAUAACAACAAAUUAAGACAUGCACAUAUAUUUCGGUUCAUUCCGUCUUCCCCCUUUCACGUUUGACCAAUUGAGUUUCUUUUGAAUUUCUCGCUAUACAUCUCUCCCCAUUAUCCUAGCCGAACUUUCCAUCAAAAAAUAGAAAAUCACGUCCCAAGCCUCUUUGUAAUUUUUGCUGAUUUUUAAAUGAUCUUUCCUUCUUCUUUGCGAUUGACUAGGAGAUCGCCACUUGGACCUCUCCGCCUUUCCCAUCUAACAUGUAAAAAUAUAACGAGGCGUAUUACAAAGACAUGUGGGUUGAUUAAGAACGAUCUCUCUCUCCAAUAAGCAAAUUGUACAACAAUACAACAUAGUUGUGGCGCCGUCUCUCCGUUUCAUUAGUGAGUGUCUUUGUGUGUGUGUUUCCUUUGUUUCCAUAAGGGGAAA